rnacentral:lncRNA from 1 species
GACCUUUGGAAGAGCAGUCAGUGCUCUUACCAGCUGAGCCAUCUCACCAGCCCCAAGGUAACUCUUAUAAAGAAAACAUUUCACUGGGGCUGGCUUACAGUUUCAGAGUUUCAGUCCAUUAUCAUCAUGGUGGGAAGCAUGGCAGUGUCCAGGCAGGCAUGGUGCUGGAAGAGCUGAGAGUUCCACAUCUUGAUCGGAAGACAGCCUGGAAGAGGGUCUUUUCCACACUGGGUGGAGUGAGCACUAGUAGACCUCAAAGCCCACCUACAGAGUUACACACUUUCUCCAACAAGGCCAUAAUGCCUAAUCGUGCCACUUCCCAUGGGCCAAUUAUAUUCAAACCACCACAGUCCCUUAUUCAGAGUUUGGAGAGCUAGAGCAACCUGUCCAAUGUUAAAGCUUAUAAGUUAUAAAGCUCAUAGUAGAAUAAAGUCAGUAUGACUCGAUGAACUGAGUUCCUAGUCAGUUAGGAAUCUGGGUUUUAUCCUACUAUUUUGGGGAAAUUAUUUUUGUUUUUUCUUGUUUUUGUUUUGUCAAAAUUGAAUAUGGGAAAAAAGAUAAACGAUUAUGUAAAUCAUAGUCCUCUCCCUAUCACUAAUUUUUUUUAGCCCAAAGGCAAACAUUCUUACCUUUUAAAUUAUCAUUAUUAACCAUCUCCAAGUCUUGGUUUCUUGAUCACCAUUUCCUGAUUUUACAAUAGUAUAUAUGAUCUGUGCUGCUUCUGUUUUUUUGUUGUUUGUUGUUUUGUUUUGUUUUGUUUUGGUCAACUUGUCAGGAGUUCAGGUCAUCUGGGAAGAGGGAACAUCAGCUGAGAAAACGCAUCCAUCAGAUUUGCCUGUAGCAAAUGUAUAGGGUGCUUUCUUGAUUGAUGGCUGAUGCUGCUCCUUGGACAUAUGGCCCUGGGUUGCACAAGAAAGCCAACGAGCAAGCCAUGGAGAGCAAACCAUUCCUCCAUGGUCUCUGCUUUAGUUUCUGCUUUGAUUUCCUGCCUUGGCUUCCCUGAUAAUGAACUAUAACUUGUAAGCUGAAGUAAAUUCCUUCCUCUCCAAGUUGCUUUCAACUGCUAUCUUAUUGUAACAACAGAAAACAAACCAGAGCAUUAUCAAUUUCCAUAACCCAUGAUAAUGAUCUAGGUUUCAUUUCCUAUUCUCACCACAAGCAGCAUCUUUCACAUAAAUAUUAAUCCUGUUAAAUAAUAUUUGUAUUAUCUUGGCAGUAAAUAUCCAUUAUUUAGCCAGUCAUUCGGAUCAACACUAUUACUUUUCCCUUUCCCUUUUACUUUUCUUGGAUUUAAUGAUUUUCUUGCUUUUUAAAACUUUGUCGUCAGUUUUCUAUCCCCAAACCAUGCCCAAGAGAUAACACAUCUCUUACUAUUUGUUUUUGUCAGUGUUCUAUUACUUAUGAAGAGACACCAGAGCUACAGUAACUCUUAU